rnacentral:tRNA from 1 species
GCCUGGGUGGCUCAGUCAGUUAAGCAUCUGACUUCGACUCAGGUCAUGAUCUCACGGUCUGUGGGUUCAAUCCCUGCAUCAGGCU